rnacentral:rRNA from 1 species
GGAACCUGGUUGAUCCUGCCAGUAGUCAUACGCUCGUCUCAAAGAUUAAGCCAUGCAUGUCUAAGUAUAAACAACUCUAUACUGUGAAACUGCGAAUGGCUCAUUAUAUCAGUUAUAGUUUAUUUGAUAGAUCCUCACUACUUGGAUAACCGUAGUAAUUCUAGAGCUAAUACAUGCAUGAAAUCCCAACUGCC